rnacentral:rRNA from 1 species
UACGUAUGGUGCAAGCGUUAUCCGGAUUUACUGGGUGUAAAGGGAGCGCAGGCGGCACGGCAAGCCUGAUGUGAAAGCCCGCGGCCCAACCGCGGGACUGCAUUGGGAACUACCGGGCUGGAGUGCCGGAGAGGUAGGCGGAAUUCCUAGUGUAGCGGUGAAAUGCGUAGAUAUUAGGAGGAACACCAGUGGCGAAGGCGGCCUACUAGACGGUGACUGACGCUGAGGCUCGAAAGCGUGGGGAGCAAACAGG